GAUGAACGCUGGCGGCGUGCUUAACACAUGCAAGUCGAACGGAAAGGCCUCUGCUUGCAGGGGUACUCGAGUGGCGAACGGGUGAGUAACACGUGGGUGAUCUGCCCUGCACUUCGGGAUAAGCAUGGGAAACUGUGUCUAAUACCGGAUAGGACAAUGGUCUGGAUGAUGUUGUGGAAAGAUUUUCGGUUUGGGGUGAGCCCGCGGCCUAUCCGCUUGUUGGUGGGGUGAUGGGCUUCCAAGCCGACGAGGGGAAGGAGGCCUGUGAGAGUGUACGGCCACAUAGAGACUUAGGUGAGGCACAGGUAGCGACGGGAGGGAGAUGUGGGGAAGAUUGCACGAUCAGCGCAAGCCUGAUGCAGCGACGCCGCGUGGGGUAUGGCGGCGUUCUAGUUGUAGACUCCGUGCGCGAGUGACGAAGCGUUUUUGUGACGGUACCUGGAGAAGAAGCACCGGCUAACUACGUG
rnacentral:rRNA from 1 species